AUAGAGACUCAGAGCUGCAUAUCAAUAAGCGGAGGAAAAGAAACUAACAAGGAUUCCCUUAGUAACGGCGAGUGAAGCGGGAAGAGCUCAAAUUUGAAAUCUUCAAGGUUCUACCUUGACGAAUUGUAGUUUAAAGAAGUGUUUUCUGUUAGAUGAGUAGCAAAAGUUCCUUGGAAUGGGACAUCAUAGAGGGUGAGAAUCCCGUAUUUGGUCAUUCCUUCUAGCUUUGUGAUACACUUUCAAAGAGUCGGAUUGUUUGGGAAUGCAGUCCGAAAUGGGUGGUAAAUUUCAUCUAAAGCUAAAUAUUGGCGAGAGACCGAUAGCGAACAAGUACCGUGAGGGAAAGAUGAAAAGAACUUUGAAAAGAGAGUUAAACAGUACGUGAAAUUGUCAAAAGGGAAGCGUUUGACACCAGUGUUGUUUUUCCGAAAAUCAAUUACGAAUGGCUUGAUUCUGUGUUGUAUUGACCUUAUCAGCUUUCUUCACUUUUUUCGAGUCUUUCUUAAUGCACUUUUCGGUUAACAAGUCAACAUCAAUUUCUUUUGUUGUAAAAGAGUAUUCGGAAGGUGGCUUUCUUUUCGGAGAAAGUGUUUAUAGCCCUUAUGCCUCUACAAUCGGAGAGAUUGAGGUCUGCAGCGUAGAUCCUUCGGGGUUAGAUACAUUUGUGCUAAGUUGUAGCUUUUCAUAGACAACUUGUUGACUAUGUUUAGUCUUGUAGCUUACUCGCUUGUGCUAUUUUACCUACGCUUAGGAUGUUGAAGUCAUCGUAUCGCGC
rnacentral:rRNA from 1 species